UCUUCCCGGCUGCUGGUUCCAUCAGGGAGGCAAGGAGACACUCAGCUGGAGGGAAGUAUCGGGCUCCCAUAUUAUUUUUCUCUUCCACUUCUCUCUCCUUAGCAGACAGCUGGCUGGCUGCCUCGGAGAUCGGCAAACUGGAACAGGAGCCGCAGAAGCACUGUGUCCACUGCACCGCCAGGCCAGGAGAAACAAUAUUAUCUCCUUGUGAGAACAGUUUGUUCCCGUCGUGCUUUGAUUUAACCUUACAAGGAAAAAUGGCCAGUUACGGAGUCAUUUUCCUGAAUGUUGUUGGAGCUGCCUGGCGGUCCUUCGUGCUGGAUGAAUUACUGAGUAUACCUGAAUUCAAAUCUCACGAGAAGGAGCUAUCUCGGUGGAAGCCAGAAAUAUGAACUGAAAAGGAUACCGGUUGAAACUUUAAGUCGAGGGCUAAUUAAAAUCUCUUCUGGUCAUACUGGGCGAUGGGUAAAGAAUCACUGAUAGCUGGGGAAAUAUAGAGAGUGAAGUUGACAACAUAGCCAAAGAGAAGAUCAUGAGGUUCAGGAUACCCUUGAACAGAAAUUGGAGGAGAAAAGAUAAAAAUGGUGGAGAAUAAGAUAAUUUGUACUCUCAAGGGAAUGCGCAAAGGUCAAAGGUCAAGUGUGGCUUCAUAUUUAUGGAUUCAUUGUGCCCUUUCAUUGGGCUCUGUUGACAUGAGCAGUAAUUUCAUUCAGCUUGAUUUGGUGAAAGGCCCGUUUUUAGUAACACAAAACUCUUUAUAUGACGUACAAGGACAUCAACGUCAAACUGGUUAAUUAAUGUCAUCAAUUCAAAAAAUGUUGAAGAUGAGUCAUACAGCAUAAAACUUGAAAUGUUCUGAAAUCCCACAGCUCAUAUAUGAAAGAAACUUUGUAGAGACUUACCCAAAUUUGAUGAUAAUCCUGAUAAUUUAUAGGACACGCUCAAUAACGAGGUGUGAAGCGGAGACUUUCUCUAACUUAUCCAUAAUAAAAACAAAUUUGAAGAGUCCAUGCCGGAGGAAGACAGACUUAACUAUCUUUCUGUUCCCUCUGCAGAAGAUAUUACAAAAUUAUUACUCUACGGAGAGGUCGUAAAAGAUGAUGUAGCCAAAAGUAUAGGUAAAAAGCUGAUUAAGGAAAACAAAAAUUGAGGAUAUUAUGGUCUUUGCCAGCUUUUAAAAAUGUGUCGCUUGUGAUUUAUUUUCUCAUGCUAAAUAAAUAUCCACUCUCGAGACUAA